rnacentral:rRNA from 1 species
UGAGUAACACGUGAGUAACCUGCCCUUAACUUCGGGAUAAGCCUGGGAAACCGGGUCUAAUACCGGAUACGACGGACCACCGCAUGGCGGUCCGUGGAAAGCUUGAUGCGGUUUUGGAUGGACUCGCGGCCUAUCAGCUAGUUGGUUGGGGUAAUGGCCCACCAAGGCGACGACGGGUAGCCGGCCUGAGAGGGUGACCGGCCACACUGGGACUGAGACACGGCCCAGACUCCUACGGGAGGCAGCAGUGGGGAAUAUUGCACAAUGGGCGAAAGCCUGAUGCAGCGACGCCGCGUGAGGGACGAAGGCCUUCGGGUUG